rnacentral:rRNA from 1 species
UACGGGGGGGGCAAGCGUUGUUCGGAAUUACUGGGCGUAAAGGGCUCGUAGGCGGCCAACUAAGUCAGACGUGAAAUCCCUCGGCUUAACCGGGGAACUGCGUCUGAUACUGGAUGGCUUGAGUUCGGGAGAGGGAUGCGGAAUUCCAGGUGUAGCGGUGAAAUGCGUAGAUAUCGAGAAGAACACCGGUGGCGAAGGCGGCCAACUGGACGGUGACUGACACUGAGACGCGAAAGCGUGGGGAGCAAACAGG